CAUGCCUAAUACAUGCAAGUCGAGCGAACAGAGAAGUGAGCUUGCUCCUUCGACGUUAGCGGCGGACUGGGUGAGUAACACGUGGGCAACCUACCUUAUAGUUUUGGGAUAACUCCGGGAAACCGGGGCUAAUACCGAAUAAUCUAUUUUACUUCAUGGUGAAAUACUGAAAGACGGUUUCGGCUGUCGCUAUAAGAUGGGCCCGCGGCGCAUUAGCUAGUUGGUGAGGUAACGGCUCACCAAGGCGACGAUGCGUAGCCGACCUGAGAGGGUGAUCGGCCACACUGGGACUGAGACACGGCCCAGACUCCUACGGGAGGCAGCAGUAGGGAAUCUUCCACAAUGGGCGAAAGCCUGAUGGAGCAACGCCGCGUGAGUGAAGAAGGUUUUCGGAUCGUAAAACUCUGUUGUAAGGGAAGAACAAGUACAGUAGUAACUGGCUGUACCUUGACGGUACCUUAUUAGAAAGCCACGGCUAACUACGUGCCAGCAGCCGCGGUAAUACGUAGUAGGCAAGCGUUGUCCGGAAUUAUUGGGCGUAAAGCGCGCCGCAGGCGGUCCUUUUAAGGUCUUGGAUGUGAAAGC
rnacentral:rRNA from 1 species